UACAGAGGGGGCAAGCGUUAUUCGGAAUUACUGGGCGUAAAGGGCGCGUAGGCGGCUUUGCAAGUGACGGGUGAAAUCCCUCGGCUUAACCGAGGAACUGCCUGUCAGACUGUGAGGCUUGAGACCGGGAGAGGUGAGUGGAAUUCCCAGUGUAGCGGUGAAAUGCGUAGAUAUUGGGAGGAACACCAGUGGCGAAGGCGGCUCACUGGACCGGAACUGACGCUGAGGCGCGAAAGCGUGGGGAGCAAACAGG
rnacentral:rRNA from 1 species